UACCUGCAGCUCGAGUGGUAACCGCUAUUAUUGGGCCUAAAGCGUCCGUAGCCGGUUUGGUAAAUAUCUGGGUAAAUCGUGAGGCUUAACUUCACGAAUUUCGGAUAGACUGCCAGACUUGGGAUCGGGGGAGGUCAGAGGUACUCCAGGGGUAGCGGUGAAAUGUUGUAAUCCUUGGAGGACCACCGGUAGCGAAGGCGUCUGACUAGAACGAGUCCGACGGUGAGGGACGAAGCCCUGGGGCGCAAACCGGAUUAGAUACCCGGGUAGUCCAGGGUGUAAACGAUGUGGGCUUUGUAUUGGAGGUCCCACGAGGGCGUCCAGUGCAGAAGAGAAGUUGUUAAGCCCACCGCCUGGGAAGUACGGUCGCAAGGCUGAAACUUAAAGGAAUUGGCGGGGAGCACAGCAACGGGAGGAGCGUGCGGUUU
rnacentral:rRNA from 1 species